rnacentral:rRNA from 1 species
AUACAUGCAAGUCGAGCGAACGGACGAGAAGCUUGCUUCUCUGAUGUUAGCGGCGGACGGGUGAGUAACACGUGGAUAACCUACCUAUAAGACUGGGAUAACUCCGGGAAACCGGAGCUAAUACCGGAUAAUAUUUUGAACCGCAUGGUUCAAAAGUGAAAGACGGUCUUGCUGUCACUUAUAGAUGGAUCCGCGCUGCAUUAGCUAGUUGGUAAGGUAACGGCUUACCAAGGCAACGAUGCAUAGCCGACCUGAGAGGGUGAUCGGCCACACUGGAACUGAGACACGGUCCAGACCCCUACGGGAGGCAGCAGUAGGGAAUCUUCCGCAAUGGGCGAAAGCCUGACGGAGCAACGCCGCGUGAGUGAUGAAGGUCUUCGGAUCGUAAAACUCUGUUAUUAGGGAAGAACAUAUGUGUAAGUAACUGUGCACAUCUUGACGGUACCUAAUCAGAAAGCCACGGCUAACUACGUGCCAGCAGCCGCGGUAAUACGUAGGUGGCGAGCGUUAUCCGGAAUUAUUGGGCGUAAAGCGCGCGUAGGCGGUUUUUUAAGUCUGAUGUGAAAGCCCACAGCUCAACCGUGGAGGGUCAUUGGAAACUGGAAAACUUGAGUGCAGAAGGGGAAAGUGGAAUUCCAUGUGUAGCGGUGAAAUGCGCAGAGAUAUGGAGGAACACCAGUGGCGAAGGCGACUUUCUGGUCUGUAACUGACGCUGAUGUGCG